UGUUCCUGCCUUGAUGAUAAUGGACUGAACCUCUGAACCUCAUUUCUAAAACAACUCCAAAAAGAUCAACAGGACAUAGAAGGUUACCAGACGUGAUCCUCCGGGGACUACUACUGUCUAGCUUGUCUAAGAACUUUAUCACCACAGGUAUAUCAUAGCUUCUUAUACUUAGAAAUAUAAGCACUUCAGCAUUGUGCUUGGGAUCCAUUUAAUGGUGAAAUUGAUUUAAAAAAAAAUCAAUGAAAGUGCAAAAACAACAAGAACGCCAUACUAGAUAAACCUAAAAGGAUUUAGAGAAAUUCACUAAGACAAGAAUACAAAAAACCCGAAGGCGCAGAAAUGGACCUACACCCAAACCCCCCACUCACACAGAAGCGGCCAGGCUGUGCACAUGUGCAAUGGCAGAUUCUGCAUGCUGCUCAUGGCAGGCUGAGAGGCUUCAAGCUCCAGCUUCAGGAAGAGGCCUUAUCUCAAAAUGCAAAAAGAAAAAAGAAAAGAAAGAAUGAAAAGGAAACGAGAGAAAGAAGAGGAAGAACCCCGUUUUAACCUCUGGCAUAUGUGCAGACUCAGAAAUUAAUAAGUGAAUACAUUUUUAAAAGAAUGAAAAGUCCUACUAGUCCAACUUGAAGCCAGUGCGGCUCUGCAUGUGUGCAUCUUCAAAUGACCCCAAAUCAUCUAGAAAAUUGAUCUGGGGAUGAAAAUAAAUUUGUGAAGUAGGCACAUUCAUAAAUACAGAAUUGGCAAGAAAUGGGGAUUAACUGUAUAAUGAUGUGCCACUAAAUAACUAUGGUCACAAAAAAGAAGAGAAAAGAAAAGGAGAGGAGAAGAGAGGGGAGGAAAGGAAAGAGGCUCGAGAGCAACACCUGCACCAAUGGUAUGCCUUUGAUGUAUCUGUUAUGUAUAACGAACUGAACUGUAUCUUUCACUCCAGAAACUCUCCACAUAGCUUAAGCUCCCCUUUGAGCCCCAGCCUCUGAGAGCUGUGCUGCUGUGGACCCUGGCUGAGGUUGGGCUCCUCCUACUCCACACUUAUCACUAGAUAUCAACUCUCACCAUACAUAAAUGAAUGCAUUUUCCACUAGAUUGCAAUCUCCUAGAGGGGGUCUCGCUCCCUUUCUCUCCCUUCCUUUCCCCCUCCUGCCUUCCCUACCUGAACAAGACCUUUGCAUAACACAGAUAAACUUCUGCUGAAUGAAUGAACAGAAAUGGUUAGCUACAGGACUUAAAGUAAGAUGUGGAUGCUAUUGAGACAGAGGGGAAGUUUUAAAUAGAUUCUGCACAAUUUUCCAAACAGCUAGAUGUGCACAUUAGGACUGGUAUCAGAUGUUGGUUUCUGGGCUGAACGAAGGUAUGCACAAGUGUUACUAAUCAAAGAGAAUUUAAGAAUAAGACAUUUGAGGGUAAAGUCAAGUUCAUUACAUGCAUGCUAUGGUUUUAUUAAUAAAGGCCUACUGAUAACAACAGAAACAGCGCCCUAAGAGUUGAUACUGUAUAGAGAAUAGGACCAUAAACAAAGAACUAGCGCUUUAGCACGUAGAGUUGGAGCCAGCACUGCCAGGUGCACUCAGUACUAUCUGAUCUAACAGGAAGUCUCUACUUGUGACUUGGUCAGGACUAAGCUCUUUACUCAUGGUUAAAAACAGAGUCUAAGAAUCAAGAUGACUACAAUGAGCAUUCAUGAAGUUAUUCUAUGUACUGUAACUUAUGCUAGGAGUUAAAAGUUUGCUAGAUGAAUGACCUAUCUGCUCAUUAGGCUUUUCCUAUCCCAAUCUUUAAAUUCAUUUUCUAAUGAACUACAGACCUGGACUACUUAGACUACUGGAAAUAACUGGAUGAAAGAAAAUGCAGGAUGCACAGAGUGACUCAUGAUUUCACUGACAUCUAUGACUAAGAGUAUUUUUGCGAGGGUGGCAUCUUUAUUGUUUAAUAGGCCUGCCCAGCUCUUUUAUGGGAUUGAAAAACUCAAGAAUUACUGCAUACCUACUAUAGGUCAAUCCUCAAAUCAAUAUCAAGUUCAAGGUCAACCUGGGCCACACAAGAUUCUGUCUUGAAAAGAAGAAAUAAAAUGAAGACAAAGACUACAUUUGAUUCUGAGGAAGUUUGUAUAUCCUUAGUUGCUACAACUAGAAAUGACUAUGAUAAUCGUAGAAAAACAGUAGCUUCAAAGUCUUUGUGUAAAAAGUUUAAUUCCAGUUUUCUCUCAAGUAUGUAUCUCUUUAAAUAUAUUUUCAAAAUGAAAUAAAACCAACUAAUAAAAAACAAUGCAAAAGCAUAAAGAGAAUCAGAGGGCAAAUUCCAGAAUGAUCAUAGUUAUAAAUAUCAUGAAAAAAUAAAAUUCUACUAAAAACAAAGCUGUUAUCUCAAGUGAGUCUUAAAUCUCAUAUCCACCAAGCUUUACUUAAGGAUUUAUCUGGUAAAGAUCUUCAGUUUCCAAGUGAUUUUUCUCCAGGAAGAAAUGUUAUAAAGGAAAAGUAGAGACCCUGAUUACAAAACCAAGACGAGCUGAGUUCUACACAUUGAAUAUAUUAAACCACAGGCACUUAAUAUUAAGGCAUGAUCCUCUGGAAACCUAAGCCUUUUUUAAAAUUAGUUUUAUGAUCAUUUCAAAAUCCUCUCAAAUUAUUUAACUGUUCAUUUUAGGACUCAAAUUAUGUCAUUUUAAAAGAUAAUAUCUAAUAAAGUUCAGAUAAAAAAAAGAUUUAUUUACAUUCUGCCUCCUUAGCAAGACAACUAGAACUCAUCUUUAGAAACUAGAUGUUGACUAUGUAACACACCAGGCAAAUGUGAUCAAAAUACACGUGUGAAAAUGGGAGAUAGGUUUUAUUAAUAUUUUGAACAUAUUUAACAUAUUAGAAAUGACUUUAUAAUCGUACUAUGACUGUAUUAAAAUAUUUUUGCAAUAAGGAAAAAGGAAAUAUGGUCCUACCUUGAAUUACAAAGCUGAUAAUAGUUCUGGUAGACUAUAAACUUUGUUACCUUAUCAGGAUAUAGCUCAAAUGAUAAGACUACUUGCUUGUAUAGGAGGCCCUGGUUUUGAUUUAUAACAUGGCUGGGAAUAAAGCUCUUUGACAUUUUAAGGUUUUUGUUCAUUUAAGCAGAUAGUGAACCAGGAAUCAAGUAGCUUCACCUCACAAAAGGUUUGGUGUCAGAGCUGAUAGGGCAAGGAGACAGCUUUCAUAGGGUGGAUUCCUUUGAGUUCAGGCUAGCCUGGUCUAUAUAUUGAAGUCUAGGAAAGCCAAGGCUACAAUAGUGAGACCUUAUCUCAAACAAGGAACAAGAAACCCCAAAUUACCUUCUCUGUGUGUAUGUUUGGCUACCUCCAGUUUCAGACACUGGUUAAAAUGCUGUUCUCUACCCUGUUCCAAGGUUAUAUUUGUUAACUUAUUUAAAAUUUGCAUAUGUGCACAUGUGUAUAAAUCCACAUAUGUAGAGGCCAAAAGAACUCAGGUAUUGUGCUAUACCAGUCUCUGCCUUACUCAAUGUAUAGCUAGACUGGGUACCUAGUGACCUUGGCUCUGCCACCCACCAGACAUAGUGUUAGGGACCUGUCAAAUAACUGUGCCCAACUCUUUAUGUGGAUUCUGGGAAUUUGAAACUAAGUCCUCAGACUAACGCAUCAAGAGUUCUUACCUGAUGAGCCAUCUGUAAGGAUCCUGAGUUUUACCAAGACUAUCUGGACAUGUGAUUUAAAGUGUACUACAGUCUAUAGACUAGCCUUCCUGAUCAUGAGAAUACCAGACAAAUUAACAUAUUUUAGGUGGACCAAGUCCCAUUUGCACAGCACCAUAUGAUUCCUAAAGAGUUCAGAAAUGCCUCUUCUGAGAAUGACAAGGCAGGUUAUUAUCACUAUGUAGAUGAGAAAUCUGAGACACAGAUAGCUCAAGAUAAAAAAAAAUAAAAUAUAGUUUAGGUUUUUCAAAAACAUUUAUUUACUCAACAAAUGGGCUGUCAACACAGUGUUAGGAACUGAUACUGAUGGGACAGACUUGCUCUCCAGUUCACACUUUAAGGGAACUAAGAAAAUAAACACAGGACACAGAUAAAUGCUAGAGAGCGUGGUAAUAAGUUAGUGGUUGUUGAAUGGCAUGAGUCACCGCAGUGGUCUUCAUAGAGCUGAACAUAUGAGACAUGGAUGAGGCGGUCAAGGCAUGCAUGCCAAGGGCUACAAGAGCAUCUAGGUAGAGGAGAGAGCAGGACUACAGACUAAAGCAGGGAAGCCUUGGGUAGCAAAGUGGACCAAUCGCUGGAGGAAGGGGAAGAGGCCUGAUUACAUGAAUCCUUUUCUAGGGCAAAGGAUUUAAAGUGUAAGUGGAAAUGUAUAGGUGAGGCCUGUUUCCAAGAAACCAUGAAGAGGUGGAUUGUAAUUCAGUCAGAAAGAAGGUCUAUUUGAGCUAUAGAACGGUAGGUAAGGGUAUGGUCCUUGCAUAAUAUCUCUAAUGGCUAUUCCGGGUUGUCAACUUGACUAUACUGUAAUGAACUACAAUCCAGAAUUGGAGGGCUCACCUGUAAUCUAGAUCUUAAGGCUAGAAGACACAAGUUUCUGACUUGGAUCUUGGCAUGGCGGCUAAGGCAAGAAGAUCUGUAAGUUCAAGGUCAGCCGGGGACAAAACAAGUCCCCAGAUCCGGGUGUGGUGGUGCAGCUUGUGCUGGAGACCUAUGUAAGAAUAUUGGAAGAGAGAAGAUUUGCUCUUCUUCAUCUGCUUGCACUUGCACUUACUUGCCAGCACACUGGAAUCUACUUCUACAGAAGACCAGCUCAAACAACUAGCCUGAGCAACUACUAGAUUCUUGGUCUUCCAUUUACAGCAUUUACAGCUGCCCACUGUUGGAGAGUUGGGCUACAGACUGUCAGUCAUCACAAUAAAUCUCCUCAGGAUAGAGAGACAUACCGUAAAUUUUGCGACUCUAGAGAACCCUAAUACAAUACCCCUGUACGUAGAGUAUGUUAGUUUUGAGUUCUGUACAAACGUUCUUAAAUUUUUUUUUUUUUUUCCAGACAGGGUUUCUGUGUAGCCCUGGCUGUCCUUGAACUCAGGGAUCCACUUGCCUCUGGCUCCUGAGCAUAAGGAUUAAAGGGCACAAAGCACCAUCACCUGGCCAACUUUUUUCAAAUUUUGAAAGAUUAUUUUACAUGUUCAGGUGUUUUGUUUGUAUGUGUAUGUAUGUACCUUGUGGGUGGUAGGAACUAAACCCUGGUCCUCUGGAAAAGUACCAGUGCUCUUAACUGGUGAGCCAUCUUGACAACUCUACAAAUUCCUUAUCUUUAUUUUUUUUGUUGUUGUUAGUGAAACAUAAACAAGAAGGAGCAAAACUAAAGUGCUCCCUUUUGAUCUGGGACUACAGUGAUAGUAAUUGGGCCAGGGCUGGAGCAGCAGGGUCAAAAAGUGCUGGACUUCAUACACUGGCAAGAGUUAAUACGGUCAAGAAAAGGCAGGGGCAGGGAUCAAGGAAGAGUCAGAGGUGUGAACUCAGUGCCUGAAGAUAUUUUCAGUUAUCACAAUUGGUGGUGCUUAGGAGAGGGCAAGUAGUGGCCAAAGAUGCUGCGGAGAUAUUGUACCAUGCAAAGCAUACAGCCAAGAAUUACCCAGUCCAAAGUCUCUCAGCAGCAUUGAGGAUAAGAAACCGUAGUCUAAGCUGAUCCCAAAGUAUUCCAUACUACAAUACUCACCUUCCCGGUAUGCAGUGUUGUAAAAAAUGAGAAAUGAAGGUCCUUUCAAUAUUUAGAAAAAAUCUAAACGAUAAUUGGUUAUAGGGGGAAUAAAUAAAACUCUGAAUUAUUUCAACCAGACAUCUAACUAGUAUACAAAUCUAAUUAGUGAAUAAAAACAUCAAUUACUGAUGAGUAAAUGCUAUUUGCUGGGCAAACUUCCUUAAAACGCGACUGAAAUACUCUCAUUAGCUAGUUUUCCUACAUAUUGCUAUGAUUAAAUCUGUAGCCCAAUACCUUUACUGUUUUUCUAAAUCCACGGACAUUCCUAGACAUCCAUGAACAGGUUAAACAGGUCAAACUGAGCUAUCAAAUGGCUAAGACAGAGCUGGUUUUAAGAAAAUCAUGCUGUUUGUAUCUGCCAGCACCUGACUUAGUAACUGAUAGUGGGUACUGGACACAUAGUUUCCGGCUAUCGGAAAGCCAAGGGAACAUAUUUCUCUCAUUCUAAGAUUGGUGUUAAGAAAAAUGCUUCUUAGACUGAGAGGGGGGAAACGUCAUACAUUAGACAGUCCAUUUUGCCUUUUUCUUAGCUAAACUGAGAGCAGGGAUCAUUGUGGCAUACUAAGUAUAAACAGAAUAAAGGCCCAAGAACCCUCAUUCACCGUAGUAAUUGCCAGCAUUAGGCUAGCAUGGCUAAGACACGCUCAGGAAUGGUCUGGAGAAACGUGGUUAUUGGCAUAUAUGACAAAUAUUAGAAACUGCCUGCAAAGCCAACUAGUCCAGAAAUGAAAAUUCAGACCAUGACAUUGAUCUGACUA